GUGAAGCAACUUAUGCAAUGCAUAUAUGGGCGCAAAGAAAAAGAAGAAGAAUAGUAUCCAUGAUCAAAGAUAAGGGAAGAACAAGGCUAAGAACAAGGUUUAUACGAAGAGAAACACUAGAAAAAAAACAAAAAUCUGAAAAAAGAAGAAAACGUUGAAGUGGUAGAAGCAAUAAAAAAAGUAAAAAAAGAAAAUGCUAGACCAAGC
rnacentral:lncRNA from 1 species